UCACUUCCGGGACGCAGGGGUUUGACCAGAGGAGCCCGUCGAAGUGAACUGGAAAGCUGGACCUGGGGCCACGCCCCCAGGUACGCUCCCUGGGCGGGGCGGCUCCCCACAAGCGCUGCCCAGGGCGGGUUCGGCGCCCACCUCCCGCCGUUUCCGUUUCGUGGUUGCUUUUAGUGCCUCAGGUGUUUCGGGAGUGGUGAUAAGGAUGGCGAAGGAACGUUUCCUUACCUUCGGUCUUAUUCUGGAGACCUAAAACAUGCUCUCACCCAAACGCGUCACCCGUGCAGAACGCAGACCCCGAGUCCCCGGAGACGGCGAGCGUCAUGGGCAGUGCACGCGGUGCGGGUGCCCCCGAGGCGCAGGUGGCUCGCUGUGACCCCGCGGGGGCGCCCCGUUGCUCACGCCGGGGAGCGCGGGCAGGAACCCCGUGGUGCGACUCGCGCCAAGGGCGAGGGCGCUGCGACAGUCCUGCCGGGGACAGCCCCAACCCGAGACUGAGCCGGGGCCGGCCGGGCAGAACGGGACCCCGGCCGGGGAACGUUCCAGAAGGGGCGUGGCCUGCCACAGGGGCGGUGACCGUUGGGGCGCCCGGCCUGCGAGCCAGGACCGUUAAGGUUCCGGCCGCCUGCGCUCCCCAGCGAGGGUCCAGACGGUACCCGUGCGGUCGCGGAGUCUUCUUGGAACGGUGCUUCCGCCCGGCGCCUCUGACACGCUGGAGCUGCCCGGGAGGGGUGCCAAAGCCACCCGCGUCGUGCCCGCGCAGAGGUCAUGACGUGGGCCGGGCCGGGCACCAGUCCAGGGAAGGACGUGACUGCGAGCUGCCCGCCCGGUUCGGGCGGCCCGGCGCCGGGGCUUUUAGUGCUAACGAAGAUGUUUCUUCUUAUGGCGGGAGGGAGGGGUCGAAGACCAGACCUUAAUGCGUCUUCGCACCAACACGGUCAUAAAAUGUCUGUAUUUUUUUGGUACCAGGGAUUGAACCAAAAAGGCCCUUUACCACAUCCCCGACCCUUUUUAUUUUUGAGACAAGGUCUCGCUAAAUUGUUGAUACUGGUCUCAAAUUUGAGAUCCUCCUGCCUCAGCCUCUCCAGUCGCUAGGAUUAUAAGCGUGUACCCAGCGCUUGGCUUUGUUUUCCUUUUUUAAUGGAGAAAAACACCAUAAAGACAAAAUUGUAUAGGGCCUUUCUUUAUAAUCAUCCCGCUUUUGUGAUUAUUGGUGAACAAUAAUAGUAUAUUUACUAUUAAGUUUUUCAUACUUUCUAUUGAAUUAUACUGAUUGCAUUUUUUCUACAAAUUAUUUUCCACACUCCAGAUCAUGUCCUGAGAUUCACAGAUCCACAGUGUAUUCAGGAAUAGUGGAACCCCAAACUUAUACAACCUGCAUUAAACGAAAGCACUGCAAUAAAAUUUUGAAUACAAAAGUGGAAAUGAAAAUUACUUUGUAUUUGGAAGGAAUAAAUAAUAUAAAUCCCAGCGGCUCAGAAGGCUGGGGCAGGAGGAUCCCAAGUUGGAGACAAGCCUCACAAAGGUCCGAAACAACUUGGGGAGACACUGUCAAUAAAAAGGGCUGGAGAUGUGGCCCAAGGAUUAGGCACCCCGGGUUCAAACCCUGGUACAAAAAAAUUUUAAAAAAUAAAAAAUCCAGGAAAAAGAGCAGGACAUUUAAACUACCAACAAUUCUAUGAAAGUUUCAUUUUGACUACAUAUAGUUAUCUAAAUCGAAAAUGAAAUGUAAGAUGAUUUUUUUAUACUAAAAACAGGUAAUUGUCCUUUUUCUGACAAAAAUUGAUCAAAUCUAUUAAGUUUAGAAAAGUCUUUCAAAUUAAUGAUCUAGUUUGAUGAUGCCAUGUAAAUUUUUAGGAUUAUCAAGCCUUUUUUCAUUUAUGAGUUGUAAGAUGUCAGAGGACUCAACCAAGUUUUCUAGUGUGGUGAUUGAGCCUACUUUGGAUGGACCACUCAAUUACCAAAUCAUCCUAUUUGUUCUCAAUUUUAGAUACAUACUAUGAGUUUUAUACUUCAGUGUAUCAUGUUAAAAGAGCAAGUUAGAGUCAUAUUUUACCUAUUUGAUCAUGUAACUCAUUCCACUACAUCAUUUGGCUUAUCAACAAUCAAGACUAUUACUCAUUAUUUCAAUUUCAAAUGGACCUUUUCUUAAAUUUUCCCUCAUGAUAAUGUCUAUUGGGGCUGGGAGUGCUCAGUGGUACAAAACUUGCCUAGCAUACACAAGGCCCUGGUUUCCAUCCCCAGUACCACAAAAAGAAGGAUGAUGGCAUCUAUUGACUUCAUCAUUGUUCAUCUUCAUUUUGCCUUGUGUUCCAUAAAUUGUUGCCAGCUUUAUAUACCUAUUUAUAUAAUCUACACAUAGUGAUGCACAAUAAAAUAUCUAGCUUUUAUGAUUAAUGUUAAUACCUCCAUACUUUGUGUAGCCAUCUUUAUUCAAGGUAUGACAUUUCUGUAGCAAUCUCCUUCUCUACACUCAGCUGAUGGAACUGCUGUUCAGAUAGCUACGUCUGCAUCAGUCACCACAGAUUCACUUAGCCUGUUCUAGAACUCAGUAUCCAUGAGAUUUACAUUCUGGUCUCUUAGAUCUGCCUGCCUUUGUUCAAUAUAACAUCAAUGUGAUUCACAGAUGUUGCUGCAGGCACCUGUCAUUCAAUUUUAUUUUUGGAUUUCAUUAAAUGAAUAUACCAUGAUUUGUGUUUUUUCCCCCACGCAUCUGUUAUUAGAUAUUUAGAUCAAUGCAAGUUUGGGGAUAUUAUGAAUAAAACUUAAAUAUGUUAAAGACUACUAUGAUAUUAUGUUAAAGACUACUAUGGCACAAUUAUUUUAAUAGAUACAUUUUCACUUAACUUGGAUAAAUAUCCAUGAGUGAAACAGCUGGAAUACAGGCUAGGUGUAUGUUUUUAUGAGAUAUUAUCAACUCAUUUUCAAAAAUGGCAAUACCCUCCUACAUUCCCAUAAACAAUGUAUGGGUUCCACUUGUCUCAUUACCUUGUCAAGACUCUUUAUUCUUAUUCUUUUUAGUGCUUGUUGUUCUGGGGGGUUAGAAGCACACACUUUGUAUUUCCCUGAUAAUCAACGUUGUUAGUCAUCUUGUCACUAAUUCUUGGCAAUUAGUGUAUCUCUUUUUGUGAAUUGUUUGCACAAGUCCAUUGGCCAUUUUAAAACUGGAUCAUUUGUCUUAUUAAAUAGAGUUCUGUACAUAUUCUGGGUAAUAAGGCCUUUGUUUUUAUGUAUUUGUUGCAAAUAUUUUCUUCCAGUUUGUGGCUUGCAUUUUUUGUGAACUUU
rnacentral:lncRNA from 1 species